GGGGGCUACGUGCUACAAUGGCAUAUACAAAGAGAAGCGACCUCGCGAGAGCAAGCGGACCUCAUAAAGUAUGUCGUAGUCCGUUGGAGUCUGCAACUCGACUCCAUGAAGUCGGAAUCGCUAGUAAUCGUAGAUCAGAAUGCUACGGUGAAUACGUUCCCGGGCCUUGUACACACCGCCCGUCACACCAUGGGAGUGGGUUGCAAAAGAAGUAGGUAGCUUAACCUUCGGGAGGGCGCUUACCACUUUGUGAUUCAUGACUGGGGUGAAGUCGUAACAAGGUAACCGUAGGGAACCUGCGGUUGGAUCACCUCCUUA
rnacentral:rRNA from 1 species